UACGGAGGGUGCGAGCGUUGUCCGGAAUCACUGGGCGUAAAGGGCGCGUAGGCGGCUCGGUAAGUAGGGGGUGAAAUCCUGCGGCUUAACCGCAGGGCUGCCUUCUAAACUGUCGAGCUCGAGCACGGUAGAGGCAGAUGGAAUUCCCGGUGUAGCGGUGGAAUGCGUAGAGAUCGGGAAGAACAUCAGUGGCGAAGGCGGUCUGCUGGGCCGACACUGACGCUGAGGCGCGAAAGCCAGGGGAGCGAACGGG
rnacentral:rRNA from 1 species